GGGCGGAUGGUUUAGUGGUAUAAUACUCCCUUAGCAAAAUUCAUUCAACUGAAAUAUCUGGGAGUGGUCCGGGGUUCGAUUCCCCGUCUGUCCA
rfam:Pochonia chlamydosporia 170 chromosome 4, whole genome shotgun sequence.